CCCCGCGACCCGACCCCGGAUUAAGCAGAAAAUGAUGGAUGGAUGGAUGGAUGUUCUGCAUGUGACGCCCUUCCUCCGUACAUGUAGAUGGUUUGGGGUGACUGGUCUUCAUUUUGGCUACCGCUGGAGGGCAUGCCUUGGGGACGUCCUGCCAGUGGUAUGAUGCCAGCGGUGGAUCACAGAGGAAGAGCUACAGAGGAAGUGAAGAACAACAAAGACAUCUGGAGUGACAUCCUGAGGUCUGGAGAACCUGGAGGUAAUGUGCUGAGAUCUAAUGAACCUGGAGGUCUCGUGCUGAGAUCUUGAGGACCUGGAGGUGACAUCCUGAUAUCUGGAGAACCUGGAGUGACAUCCUGAUGUGUGGAGAACCUGGAGGUGAUGUGCUGAGAUCUAUAGAACCUGGGGGUCUCAUGCUGAGAUCCUGAGAACCUGGAGUGACAUCCUGAUAUCUGGAGAACCUGUAGGUAAUGUGCUGAGAUCUAGAGAACCUGGAG